CCGGUUUCGUAGUUCCAGGCUCCGUCGCUAAGGGCGGGGCGGCGCUGUUGCUAUGGAAAGUUUGGCGGCUUCUGCUUGGAGCGAGGGAAGGAAGGCGGAUUUGAUCUCUCAAACAUGUAAAACAGCAAAUAUGAAGUACUAUGUGAAUAUGGCACUUCACUCCUGACUUAAUGAAGACUCCUGAAUACUACAUCACACAAACGGUACGGCAGAAAUUGGCAGUGAUAUGCUGAUGGGCUUCAUGUUGGAUCAUUGGGACUUAGUGAACCCAUAGCUCAGUCCCUUCAUUUGAGUUGCUGUAAAGCCUUUUAAAUUGCAUUCAGGUGUUUUCAAUUGUUUGAACUGCUUCAGAUUAUUUUAAGGAGAUUCUGUUGAUUAUACACCGCAUGCAGAGAACUACUUGCUUUAUAGUGGAAUGGAAAUACUUAAAUGGAAGUCUACUUCAGUUAAUGAAGGUAUUAUUUCUUCAACAGAACAUUUGGUACCAGAGACAGAAUCAUGGAAAGAAUGGGGUAGGUUCCUGCAUAACAAGAAAGAAGAGCUCUUUAAAUGCAUUUCAGCAAGCAUUUUGCUCAAAAUUAACAUUAUGUUCAUCUGAAAUGAGACAACUAGGCCAAGUAAACCUUGCUUAAGUAAGCAACAAUUUUGAAUUUUCUCGGGACUACCUGAAAACUUCUUCCCAAAUGCAUCCAGGGAUGAUUUUUUCCCACCAUCAGCAUCUACAUUUCUGUGAUUUCUUUUUCGGUGGUGAAAUUUAUAUAUCCUUUCAUACUGGAGGCAGCUUAUGAAAUAGGAAUUAUUUACUUUCCUCUUUUAUUUAUAUUUUCCCAUUCACAGAUGCUCAACAAGGGAUUCUGGAGGCAGCUCUUGAUUGCCUUGGCUGUUGUAGGACCAUUCAGUAUAGUAAGAUUGUCUAGAGAUGAAUCUCAGUUUUUUCCAGGUCAAGCAUUACUGUAUAUUGCCUGCAAUCCGCCACUAUAAGUCUGUGUCUCUCCAGCCCCCUUUAUUAUCCCCCCAAUACAAAUGUUGCAGAUAGAAGCGAAAAAAACCUUCCUUGCUAGACAGAGGACAAGGAAGAAAAGAACAUGGGUAAGGAAGACUUUGCAAAAAAAUUAGCUUUUUUAUCAGAAGCUCAUUUUGUUAACAGUGGUAUGCCUAUACUUAAACUUUUUAAAAUAGAGGUUGGAUGGCCAUCUCUCUGAAGUGCUUUAGUUGUAUAUUCCUUCAUAGUAAGGGAAUAGACUGGAUGACCCCUUCCAACUCUUUAGUCUAUGAAAUAUGCGUAUUUCUUCAAUUCUACAAAACACAUUUGCCCAAUAUAAAUGUGUCUAAAACUGGGGUGCAUUUUGGAAUGAUGGACACUUUUUUAUAUGUAUGAAUAAGGCUCUUUUUCUGAUGGUAGUACUCAAAUUAGUGUGUGUGUUACAAUCAAUGAUGUCUAAGGCCCCUUCCAUACUGUCCCUAUAUUCCAGGAUCUGAUCCCAGAUUAUCAUCUUAUCCCAAGAUAUCUGGUUGUGGAGAUUAAUAUAAUCCAGUUUAAAGCAGAUAAUCUGGGAUCAGAUCCUGGAAUAUAGGGCCAGUGUAGAAGGGGCCUUAGAAUUGGAGAAAUAUUGUAAUUAAAUCAUUAGCUAUAAUAUACAGAGUGAAUCUGCCAGCUUGGGCAGCAAGUUUUGCCUGUCAUAAAAUGGUAGCAUCUUGUCAAGUUGCUUAUUUUUCACUGCCGGUAGGUAGGUAGAUAGACAUUUUCAUUCCUCUGAUUUCUGAAUGUUCUGCCAUGUGUGCCAAAAUAACUUGGCUAGCUUUUGGUACUCUGCACCUUGAUGUGGGUGGGCGUCAUUUACUGCUCUGCUUCAGGAAGCAAAAUGUCUUGGUCUGGCCCAUCUAAGUAACAGCCUUGUAUAAAAGGCAAGCUGGUGACAUAGGUAAAGCGGUCAGAUAGGCAUGAAUUCUUGCUUGCUUAGGGCCCAAAACGUCUCUCAAGGGAGUUUGGUUCUGCCGUUCGGCUUUGUCUUUUGCAAACCACGGAUGCAGUCAGAAUGAGACUUUUUUUAAAAGAGAGAGAGAGAGAUCGUGUUUUUAAGCAUCCCCACGAGAGGGCGUGCCAGGGUCACAGCUUCCCGUUUUGUGUGGCAAGAAUAGAUGUAAAGAUGCGAUUUGGAGGUGGAUGCUUGGCUGUUUUUGAGAGCAGGCAUUGACUUGCGUUUGAGAAUAACAUGAUUUGCUUCAAGUCUUUUUUUCAGUGUUGAGCCCUGUGCAGCACCAGCUUAACACCUUCUCUUGCAAGCGGCUGUCUACUUCGGAGGUUUUUAAAACACGAACACAAGGACACAUGUAUUUGUACACACAAACACAGACACUUACCUUAAGAGUCACCAAGCAGUGGAAAAGCAAUCCAUCUGUUCUUUAGAGAAAUUAACUUUUUUCCUCUUUAAAAGCAGGAUGGUGAUGUUAAAUGGUGCCACGGAGCAGCCAUCCAUAUUUGUACUUGUAAAUUUAGAGAGAAAUUAUUUAUCUCUCUUUCUCUCUUAAUUUUCAAGUUUGCAAAGAAGCUUUUAAAACUCAUGAACGUCGGGUGUGAGUUGUACUUGAAACAAUUUGUAGAGUGCAAAUUGCUUACAUGCUCUUACCGUGAAGCUGAUGAAAAUAAUGAAAGCUCGACUGUGGGGUUUUUUGGGGGGGGGGCGGGGGGGGGGAGAGAAAUACUUCCUUCCUCCGCCACAUCCUCCUAAUAAAUGAAAUGAAAAAAACACCAUUAUUGAGCCACCUGCUUCUAAUUCCUAAUUGUGGCAACUUAAUUCUGAAAUUGUUUGUUAGCUGCAUAAUAUUGCAGCCAUUAAAAACGUGGAGAAGCCAUUAAAUUCUUUAAAACACUGUACAGCUUAGCAUUGGCAUUUUGUUUUGAUCAAAUAACUUUUCUACUGGAGAAAAUGUGCUAAAAUUAUAUUUGUAUCUACAAGAGAAAGAAGGGAAACAUACUGGUAUUGCAGAGCUACCGUGGUAAAGAGAAGUAUGGGGGCACAAGAUGGGUGUGGUAUUAUUUAAAUAUCCUUUUUACAAAAGUAUUCCCAGCUGUUUUAGGGAAUGUUCAUUUGUGUUUUGGCACUGAAACUAUGGUUUUCCCACUCUCCAAACUGUAGUUGGUAGGAAACUUGUAUAAUAACAUUUUGUAUUAAAAUGUGUUGAUAGAGAAAUAGACAUUUCUCUAUGAACAGUACCAGAAUGUAUUUAGUAACACAGCAUGCCAUCAUUGAACAAUGUAUAGCAAUAUCAAAUAUAUUUGUAUUUUAUUGUUUCACAUAUAUGUAGAAAAGAGCCAACUCACACAUGAUCAUUCUGGAUAUUUUGGAAUAUAAGCAGUUGCUUUCAUUUGAUGAAUUCUUCCUCUUUUCGUUCCCAGACAUAUGGAAAAUGUUAAGCAUCUAUCCUGAAAUACAGCUUGUUUAUUCUCAAUAACUUCUUCUUCAGAGACAUAACUGCCACAGCCAUUUUUAAAAAUUCUGUAUUUGCCUGUAUACAGAUAAAUACCUUUAGAUAAUGGGACACUGCAGCAACAAUGAGUCCUUUAGCUUAACCUUUUGGUCAUUUGAAAUUAUAAAUAAGUGGCAUCCAUUUUUAAAAUGUUUUUUAAUGGAAUAAACAAUCUGAACCAUCAUUUAAGAAGCUUCCCACCACUUUUCAUAUGGGAGGGGAUUCCUCUGCUCAACGUUGCAUGCAGUAUCUUGAGAGUGUAAUAUCAUAACGGAAAGAAAUAAUGCUUCAAAAAUAUUUGUUUAUUAAUACUGUAUGCCUCUUGUCUACAGUGCUGUCUUUGGCAUAUCUACUCACAAGUAGAUGCCUCUGACUUUAAUGGAGUUAGUUCUCCAAGAUCAGUAUGUAAAGCUCGGGGGCACAUCUGGCCUUCAGACAAAUUUCAGAAGAUCAGUUCAGAUCUCUGGAAAGAGAAAUUUGUCUCUCCUCUGGGAAGGAUGAGAUCUACAGCCAAACGACCUCUGGAAGACCACUCAUUCCUCAUCCCACAGUAUUUCCCAGCAUUGCUAUUUAGAAGGUCAUCAUCAGGAGAUCAAUUCAUCAGCUUUCUCUAAUGUACAUAAAUUGAUGGAUUGUUGCUUCUAUCUCCUCUUCUUGCCUUAUUGAAUCUAGAAUUCCAACAACCUCUAUAAAGGAAAUUGAAAAAAAAAACUGUUGGCAAGAUGUACAACUUCAUUGCUGGUCAACAUGAAUUUGAAUCAUACUAGGAUUUGUUUUCUUUUGUGCAGUCACCUGACACCUUUAUUUUUCUUGCUCUCUGAGCCUGUAGCCAAAGCAGUUGUUUGCCUUGAUUUGGUUUUUCUUGCUUGCCUACAUCUUUCAUAUCUUCUUUGGUGGCCCAUGGUCCACUUCUGAUGCCUUGGUCCUGUUUCAUCUCACUUCUUUUGUAACUGAUCCAACUUUAUAUGUGCAAGCAUCUUCAUUCAGUGGAAAAUGAAUGAAGAUGAUAAAAUGAUUCUUUUAGGGCAGUCAUUUCCCAUCGCUUUGCCUAAGACAAGCCUUGCUAUUCACAAACACAAUUCUGUCAUUCAGUUCUCAUGAAUGCCACUUUGAAUACCAUUAUGGGAUAAAGGCAGGGUAUAAAUCAAAUAAAUUAUAUAAAUGAUCAAUAAAUAACAUAGGCAUUUCUCUUAUAUGGUCAGACUACUUGAACAUCUAGUAUUGUCUAGUCUUCACUGCCUCUAGUCCAUUUCCUAGCCCUUCAUGGGUUUAGGACUUUCUUUAUGCUCUAUGCCUCCCCCAAUUGGUGAUCUACCAUGAAAAUACUUUGUAAAUGUACUUUUGGGUGCUACAACUCUUCAAAUCCCCCAACCAACGUUACCAUUGCCCAUCCUGACUGGGGGACACAAAUUGUACUUCCAAAUUGAAACUUCCAAGCAUUGAUAAUUAGUCUUAGCUCAGCAUUUAUGACUGGUGUCCUCUUAACACUGAAACUAAUAAAAGUUCCCAUUGCCAUCUGCUAGAACUCAAGUCUCAUGCAAUUAAAAAUACUACCUUUACAUGGUUUUUUUGCACGUAUAUGAUACUGAAAGUGCUAUAGAUUUGCCUGCAGUGGGGACAAAAAGACUCAUUAGUUAGAGGAAAAAACUAGGACUAGUAAGACUUGAGAUGGAAGUCAGAAAAAAGGGUCAAUGCAAAGUUUUAGUUCAGAAUAAUCAACACCAGCUGAGAAACUUAUGCUCCAUGGAUAUUCACAUCUCAUUUGAAAAAGUGGAAAUAAAUAUCAAAGGUAAUGCUUUCAUUACUAAUGUUUGCAUUCUACUAACUCAUUAAUCUGCAGUGGAAGCUGAUGACUUCCAUACUAGUGAGGUGGUAAAUCUGCUCUAAAUUUUAGAUUGAACUUUAAAGAAACUAUCCAUGACACAAAGGGAGUCUCAAAAUAAGUUCAGCAUUAUAGAUGCAUUAUGGGUGUCCACUUAUAUCUCUAAACAAAAAACAAGCCAAGCAGCAGCUCAUAUCUCAAAAAACCUGCAAGUUGAGUCACUCAUAAAUCAAGGUACAACUGUAUAGCAUUUACUGCCUAUACCACAUUGUGUUUGGCACAUAGCUGCUUCUUUUGGUCUGAUUUACAUGUUCAUUCAGAGGUCAUGAUACAAAAACAUGGCAGAUCGUAUAUGGCCCUAGUGGUACAGCUAAAUAAUUUCCAGUCUUGAAUUUGAAAAGAUUAUAGGAUUCCCUAUUUAUCAUGUUUUUCUAGUUACAAAGCACAGAUCUUUCAAUGCUUUGCCAUUCUAUCUAUACAAUGAAAAAAAUUUAAAUGCUAGGAUCUAUAUGUAAUUUGCUUAUAAUCUAUAUGAGCAACAGUGGGUCACAUUCUAGAGCAAAAGAAGGAAAUAAAUUAAAUAUAGAUGCUAAUCAAAUAACUAUACUUGCCAGCUGUGAGAAAAGAAAUAUUUUGUACAUGCAUAGUUUCACAUUUGUAAUUCAUCCAAAUCACUACAGAAAUAACAUGAGGGUUGCUUCUGCUACCUCAGAGCUUAACAGCCUCACUAAAAAGAACAAUUGGGGCUAUUUUAAAGUGAACAUGAUAUGGCAUGCCAAUUACCAGGUAUGCAUUACCCCAGACCAGGCAUGUAGCCGGGGGGGGGGGGAGAGAGGGAGGAGCUUGAGAGGCUUCAGGGCCCCCCCCCCAAAUUCUCAGGAUGGUCCACGAGAAGGCCUUACAUUUAUUAUUUAAACUGUUAGGUUUAUUCAUAUCAUGAUCUGAUCACCAUGCUCAGUAUAUCCCAUAUGCAUGGGGGGGUAUUGGGAUAACAAUACAAACGGUUUGCUAGGGCAGAUCCUCAGUCACUCAGACUCAGUCCCCCCCCCAAUCAAAAUCCUGGCUACGGGCCUGCCCCAGACAUAGCUAUUUUAUGUUUAUGGAAAGAGAGAUGAGGAAAGGAAGGAAAGGGGCAAGAUGAGCUGUGAUAGCCUUCUAUGAAAAUCAUUUUAGAUACUAACAAUAGGGCUAUUUCUAGUUGUCUCCCUUAAAGUCCUAUGGUAAACCAGGCAAUCUGUGGUUCUCACUCCAUUAUUGUGAUGUCCCAUGGACCCUUGGGCCGUGAACCUGACUCCAUUGUGGACAACAGCGAUGAGGAAACAGGUUUAGUGCCAUUUCAGCAAGACUCUGCCCCGUUCCAGAUGUUCCCUAUUGACAAUUCUAGUUCAGUGCUCAUUAAAAAGGGCCUUGAAACGGAGUCUUCUCUUCCCAGCUCUCCUCCUUUUGAUAGGAAAAUGUUUGUACAAACAAACAGACAGGAGAAAGCUGGACAAAGACGAAGCGCGCGAUUAGCAGCAAGGGAAUCUGCUGAUUAACCUAUUUUCCCCUGAGAACUCUAAGGGAGGAUUGCAUCCGGUCAAGAUGUUGUUCUAGCUCUUUUCCCUUGGGAAAAGAGCAGUGGAGACACCUGUUUCGAAGGAAGAUUAGAAGCUCUUAAAAGUUCUGUGUGCUGGCUAGCCAGGCCGGAGUCAACGUGUCAGUUGGGAGGAUUAACUUCGCUUCUAGCCAAGUGUGGACUGCGCUUAAGUCCACUACUUUCCAGCCUUGCUGUGCCUUGCCUAGCCGUGUUCCUUGUCUUGCCGUGAUUCCAGCCUUGCCUUGUCGUGCCGUGUUUCCAGCCUUGUCUACAAUUCCAUGCCUUGGACUUGCUUUUGAACUUUAGAAAAAGACUUGGACAUUUCCCCACUCAAACUGCUUGGAAGUUUGAGUGCGUUUCGGUUUUUGGAUUACAAACUUUAAACUCUAAUAUUAUAUAUUGGACAAUAUAUUACUGGACUAUAUUUGACCUUUCCUGGAAGGUCUAUUGGUGAACUAUAUCUUCUGCUUGUUUUCGUUUUAAUUUCUUAAUUCCUUAAUAAAGAUAUUAGAUUGUU